rnacentral:rRNA from 1 species
CCUACGGGCGGCAGCAGUGAGGAAUAUUGGUCAAUGGGCGAGAGCCUGAACCAGCCAAGUCGCGUGAAGGAUGACGGCCCUACGGGUUGUAAACUUCUUUUGUCAGGGAGCAAGUGGGGCCACGCGUGGGCUUAGCGAGAGGACCUGAAGAAAAAGCAGCGGCGAACUCCGUGCCAGCAGCCGCGGUAAUACGGAGGAUGCGAGCUUUAGCCGGAUUUAUUGGGUUGAAAGGGUGCGUAGGCGGAAUAUCAAGUCAGCGGUAAAAAUUCGGGGCUCAACCCCGUCGUGCCGUUGAAACGGCUGUUCUUGAGUGGGCGAGAAGUAUGCGGAAUGCGUGGUGUAGCGGUGAAAUGCAUAGAUAUCACGCAGAACUCCGAUUGCGAAGGCAGCAUACCGGCGCCCAACUGACGCUGACGCACGAAAGCGUGGGUAUCGAACAGGAUUAGAUACCCUGGUAGUC